rnacentral:misc_RNA from 1 species
GUGAAGAACGUAGCGAAAUGCGAUAAGUAAUGCGAAUUGCAGAUUUCAGUGAGUCAUCGAAUCUUUGAACGCACAUUGCGCCCGCCAGUAUUCUGGCGGGCAUGCCUGUUCGAGCGUCAUUUCAACCAUCAAGCCCCCGGGCUUGCGUUGGGGCCCUGCGGCUGCCGCAGGCCCCGAAAAGCAGUGGCGGGCUCGCUGUCACACCGAGCGCAGUAGCGAUUCUCGCUCCGGGCGUCGGCGGCGGGCACCGGCCGUGAAACCCCCCCACAGCCACAAGGUUGACCUCGGAUCAGGUAGGAAUACCCGCUGAACUUAAGCAUAUCAAUAAGCGGAGGA